GUAUUUUUUUGUUUUGCUUCACCCAGAAACGGGUAAAUUGACAUAGUAUCUCUUGAGUCUUCUCUUCUUCUACCUUCUUCCUAUGUGACAAAAGCUAGAGCAACAACUAUGACAAAUAUACAUCUUCUCCCUCUCAUGGCCCGCUUGAUCUAUGCUGAUUAAAGGGCUACCAAAGCUCUCUUCCCAAAGUCCUGCUCUUGAGCUCCCUGCCACAAAGAAGCAAGUAGUCAGUUGAUGCAUCCAUUUCACCUAUUUUUAGAUGAAGUAGAAUGACUGAGAAAUGGUCAGUUGACCAGACCCUCCCGGAGGCACGGAGGGUGUGGUCUGGCUACGCGAGACUAUAUAGAGUAUAUGCCACAGGGAAACCACACUGUCUCUCAUUGAUCCUCGACUAAUAACAAGUUGGGUUCAGGUUUACUAAAUUCACUUCCAAAUAUGAGUUGAUUAAAGUUAUUGAUGUCCCAUCAUAUCAGGAGAGAGAGAGAAAACUAGAAAAGUAGGAAUUCUGUUUGCACCAAAUCAGCAUCUUCAAAAUUAGAAGGUGUGGGUGUGGCUCAUAUCUAAAUAAACUAGAUCUAUCUAAAUUUAAAAUGAGACUUGCAUAAUAUCAAAUCUAUUGUUGUCAUGAAUAUAGUUCAUACGGACAGAGAAGAAGAAAAAUGUUAAAAUAAUGGCACUAAAAGGUAAAGAGGAAAGAGAAAGGAGAUAUACAAAUAAAUGUAGUGCUGAAUAUAGAUUUAAUAUGAAGGAAUAAUGAGUAGAUUAUUAAACUGUAUUAUA